rnacentral:rRNA from 1 species
UACAGAGGUCCCCAAGCGUUGUUCGGAUUCAUUGGGCGUAAAGGGUGCGUAGGCGGCGCGGUAAGUCGGGUGUGAAAUCUCGGGGCUUAACUCCGAAACUGCAUUCGAUACUGCCGUGCUUGAGGACUGGAGAGGAGACUGGAAUUUACGGUGUAGCGGUGAAAUGCGUAGAUAUCGUAAGGAAGACCAGUGGCGAAAGGCGGGUCUCUGGACAGUUCCUGACGCUGAGGCACGAAGGCCAGGGGGAGCAAACGGG